rnacentral:misc_RNA from 1 species
GGAAUUUAUUCUUAGUAGAAAAACAUAUUGAUCACAUAAUAAAUUGAGAUUUACACCUUCUGUAUUCUAGCACUAAAGAGAUGACAACCUUUCACUGCUAACAAGGCCACUGAAAUUGUAUCACUUGAAGGUUGAAAGACCUAGAGCACAAUAAAAGUCACUACUACAAGGUUUUCAAAAUAUGCGCAAAAACAAAUUAAGAAUCCCUUCAGGAAAAAAAAAAUAGUGGCAUAAUUAGUCUAAUUAAAUCAAAUUACAGAGUCCCCAUAAGCUAACUAGCCCCAAACACAAGAUUCCAUAUAUCUAGAAAAGAUUAUUUUCAUCUAGUGUGACUUCACCAAGAUAAUUCUUCCCUUGAAGAGCUCCUUCAUCCAAUAGCCAUUUCUCAAGCAAUGAGAGUGGAGGCAUUUGGUCACUAGAAUAUGGUUUGCUUUCAUCUUGGAAAAGACUAGCCUCAUCAGUUGACAUGGUAUGAGAAAAAUCUGAAAUUGAAGAAUCAAGAGACUCAAAACCAAAGAGCGAUUCAAACGCUUGUGCUAAUUCAAUCCCAUUUUUGUCACCUUUACUUGGACCAGUCCCUUCACUACAAAUAGAAUCAGUCGUUCCAGCAAUGUUGUUGAAAGAAUUCUGAGUAGCUGCUGAUGAGUUUGUUUGGGCUUGCUUCUUAGGUCCAUUUCUCAUCCACCCUUUAAGCAACUUUGCGAUAUUUUCAGUGCUUGAUGCAUAAUUUGAUGCUGGUCUUGCAAAAAAAUGGCCUCCACUAGAGUGUUUCAACUCAGUGAAUAAGCUGCUUUUCUUCUCUGGGGAAAGUGCCUCAUAUAGAGCUUGUCUGGCUGUGUGGAUAUCAGU